rnacentral:rRNA from 1 species
UACGUAGGGUGCAAGCGUUAAUCGGAAUUACUGGGCGUAAAGCGUGCGCAGGCGGUUUUGUAAGUCUGACGUGAAAUCCCCGGGCUCAACCUGGGAAUUGCGUUGGAGACUGCAAGGCUAGAAUCUGGCAGAGGGGGGUAGAAUUCCACGUGUAGCAGUGAAAUGCGUAGAGAUGUGGAGGAACACCGAUGGCGAAGGCAGCCCCCUGGGUCAAGAUUGACGCUAAUGCACGAAAGCGUGGGGAGCAAACAGG